rnacentral:hammerhead_ribozyme from 1 species
ACCCACAUGACGAGUCCCAAACAGGACGAAAUGCACAUACUGGAU